GGGCGGCCCGCGGGGCGUGGGGCCGCUGCCAGGCAGCCGCGGCCGCUGUUGGACGCCGGCGCCGAGCCCGACGCGGCCGAGCUGGAGGCCGAGCUGCUGGCGCUGCUGGGGAAACCCCAGGGCCGAGCUCCCGUGCCCAUGGAGGACAUCGAGAAAAUGGCAGCGCUCUGCAUGCGGGACCCGAGCGACGAGGAGGAGGAGGAGGAGGAGGAGGAGGACGAAGACCUGGAGGGCGAGGAGGAGCUGAUGGCGGAGCUGCACCAGGUGCUCGAGGAGGGGGGCUCCGAGCCCCCCGCCCCACAGACCCCACCGGCCCCACAGGCCCCACAGGCCCCACAGGCCCCACAGGCGGAGCCCCCCGGUGCGGGCGGGCAGGGGGCCGUGCUGGAGGAGCGGGCGCGCCUGUACCGGGAAGCGCUGGGCAGCGCCAGGCAGGCGGGGGACGCGGCCCG
rnacentral:lncRNA from 1 species